CGCCGUGAGGGCGUGCGACCGACGCUCUCCGCGACAGUGAUGACGCACACGUCGACGCCGCGCGAACCUCGCCCCGGCGCGGGCGGCCGUCCCUCAUACGGAACCGAUGCCCUAGUGUCUGAUCACGUGACCCACACUGACGCCGCCUGAACCGUUACCGACAGUCUGUUCCGCACUCCCGAAGAUGCCACAAGGUCGAAACAUCUCGGGAUAUAUUUCCACUGUCUCACCGCUCAACCCUCAAGCACUCGCCAAUAGGGGAAGUUUCGUCCACGUGAAGUGAUUCUGUGAUUCCUCCGAUAGUAGUUCCGUUAUACCGUCCCACAACAGUGUGUACAAAACCCUUGCCCCCACCUGUGUAUUUCUCUCCGCAAGAAACAACACCCGCCAACGACGACAGUGACGUGUGUCUCCAGGAUUGCUCAACAAAUUCCUAAGCAGCUGCUCCGAGGACGACACCGGUUCUUCGUGGGCCCGCGAACCGCGUGGCGGGCAGAAAAACGGGACCUGCGUCAUCGGUGGACCGGUGACGUCAUUCAGCAGACCUGACGUCACAGCCGGAGCGCUGCGCAGAGGGCAGCAGCGUCGGCGCGAGCAGGGAACACCAUGAGUAUCUGAGAACGCCUCUCACAUAAAAACGACCAACUCAACGUUCUCCUUGCAGUUCUGAUACAAAGGGCUUUAAUCAGACCUCAUAGACAACUGCCCGGACAUGACUCAUUCCUUCCUGAAGACUACGCAUGCUGAUCUGUGGCUUUGCACGGAACACGCCAGCAGGAUAAUUCCUGAAUACUUCUGAUGCCGCACACUAAAGAGGAAGCUGCUGGAACAAUUAAUUACAAACACAGGAGGCGCAACCCGCGGCCGCUACGGCGUCGCACAGUGCAGCGCCGAGCCCUGCCGGCGCGGACAGAUGGAGGCGGAUAAGCGGGCUGCUUUGGAAGGCGGCCACGUCUGGCGCGGCGACCCGAGCUGAAUGGCGGACGAGACGGCGGGGCGCGGCCGGCCGGCCGGACAGCCGCCGGGCCUGCCUGCCUCUCUGUCUGUCUGUCUGCCCGCGAGCCGCGGCCGCAGAUAACUCGCACACGUCCCGUCCACGCAGGCCGCGUUACAUCUCUCUCUCCACUGGCCGAAACACUCGUUAUGCAUACGACGUGUCAUGCGUGUGUUGCAUAAUUGGCUGGUGAUAAAAGUCGAAAGUCUCAAGUUAUCACUUUAUGUACGUAUGAUGUUCAACCAGUGGUUUUUUUGAAUCUGAUACGGUUUACUGUGCCAAUCACUAGUAACUGUACGCUACAGUUCAUUGUAUCCCCUAAUUAAAGUAUUUGUUCUUGGUUAAACACAUUUACACUGAAGAACCAAAGAAAUUGGUUGUUGUUGUUGUUGGUCCCGAGUUCGAACCACAGUCAAAGACACAAUUUUAGUCUGCCAGGAAAUUUCAUUCACUUUGGUUGGUCAUGGACACGUCCAACAACGAUAUCUCUUUUCUGCCAUUCUCUUACGUCUCGAUGUGGACUCAUCUCGAUGCACUGAUUCGAUACAGCGAACUGGUACAUACACAGCACUUUGCUGCCAUGACAUAUGUGUAGAGUUCCAAGGCGCCUACUGUGCUGUUUCAAGGUGGUAACUAAUGUUUUGUCCGUCCAUCUUAGAUAUCCCACAGUACUGGAAGAAUGCAUUUGCCUAUGAAAUAGAUUCAGCCUGCGUUACUAUUACUUUCAUCAAAUUAUGAGGGUCACAUAACAGUCGUUGUUGUUGUUGUGGUCUUCAGUCCUGAGACUGGUUUGAUGCAGCUCUCCAUGCUACUCUAUCCUGUGCAAGCUUCUUCAUCUCCCAGUACCCACUGCAACCUACAUCCGUCUGAAUCUGCUUAGUGUAUUCACCUCUUGGUCUCCCUCUACGAUUUUUACCCUCCACGCUCCCCUUCAAUGCUAUAUUGGUGAACCAUUGAUGCCUCAGAACAUGUCCUGCCAACCGAUCCCUUCUUCUAGUCAAGUUGUGCCACAAACUCCUCUUCUCUCCAAUUCUAUUCAAUACCUCCUCAUUACUUAUGUGGUCUACCCAUCUUGUCCUCGGCAUUCUUCUGUAGCGCCACAUUUCGAAAGCUUCUAUUCUCUUCUUGUCUACACUAUUUAUUGUCCAUGUUUCACUGCACUACACUCCACACAAAUACUUCCAGAGAUGAAACUGGUAUACUUGCCUAAUAUCGUGCAGCGCCACCGCCAGCACGCCGAAGUGCCGCAACACGACGUGGCAUGGACUCAGCUAAUGUCUGAAGUAGUGCUGGACAGAAAUAGCACCAUGAAUCCGGCAAGGCUGUCCGUAAAUCUGUAAGAGUGCGAGUAGGUGGAUAUCUCUUCUGAGUAACACGUUGCAAGGCAUCUCAGAUAUGCUCAAUAAUGUUCAUGUUUGGGAAGUUUGGUGACCACUGGAAGUGAUUAAACUCAGAAGUGUGUUACUCGAGAAACUCUGCAGCAAUUCUGAACGUGUGGGAUGUCGCAUGGUCCUGUUUGAAUUGCACAACUACGUCGGAAUGCACAAUGGACAUGAAUGGAUGCUGGUGAUCACAUUGCAUGCUGACGUGUCACCUGUGAGAUUCCUGUCUUGACGUAUCAGGGGUCCCAUAUCACUCCAACUGCACGCGCGCCAUACCGUUACAGAGCCUCUACCAGCUUGAACACUCCCCUUCUGACACUCAGGUCCAUGCAGUCAUGAGUUUGACUCCAUACCCGUAUACGGCGAUCCGCUAGACACAAAUCGAAACGAGACUCGUCCGACGAGGCAACACAUUUCUAGUCAUGGACAAUCUAAUUUUGGUGUUGACGGCCCCAGGCGAGACGUAAACCUUUGUGUCGUGCAGUCAUAAAGAACACACGAGUGGAGUUUCGGCUCCGAAGGCCCAUAUCAAUUAUGUUUCGUUGAAUAGUUCGCACUCUGACACUGUUGAUUGCCCAGCACUCAAAUCUGCAGCAAUAUCAGCAAGGGUUGCACUUCUGUAACGUUGAACGAUUCUCUUCAUUCGCCGUUGGUCCCGUUCUUGCAGCAUCUUUUUCCUUCUUCAGCGAUGUCGGAGAUUUGAUGUUUUACCGGAUUCCUGAUAUUCACGGUACACUCAUGAAAUGGUCGUACGGGAAAAUCCAGACUUCAUCGCUACCUUGAAGAUGCUGUGUCCCAUCGCUAGUGCGCCGACUAUAACACCACUUUCAAACUCACUUAAAUCUUGAUAACUGGCCAUUGUAGCAACAGUAACUGAUCUAAUGACCACGUCAGACACUUGUGGUCUUAUAUAGGCGCUGCCGACCGCAGCGCCGUAUUCUGCCUCUUUACAUACCUCCGCAUUUAUAAACGCAUGCCUAUACCAGUUUCUUUGGCGAUUCAGUGCAUAUGACAGCAGUAGCAAUCGUACCGUUUGUUUUAGUUUCUAGGUAGCAACCCAGAGAUAUGACAUGAAAUUAAUAAAUACAAAAAUAAAUGGAGGAGGUGAAUGUAUCAAUCUAUGGUGCGGGACCCUGAUCCGGAAACGACGGAAUCCGACGCGAGAAUCGUUCCGGUACCUAUGACAUUCGAUCACUUCUAGUGGAAACCGUUUCCCUUCCAUGCUUUGGUAGAAGGUGGUAUGGAACAAAAGAAGAAAAAGUUGUUUAGUAAACAUCGGCUCUGAAAUGAAUCCAUUGAGAGCUAUGAUCAAGUGUUCAGUACACGAUAUGUUUUUAGUCACGGCGAGAAUAAACUAGUUCUCAUACCUCUUAAGGUAAGCGUUUUAGAAGUCAUAUUUACCGGAUAUAUUUUUCUUGUUUUGGUCCAUACUGUCUCCUCCCAAAACACAACAAAGAACUUCAGGUUGAAGGUUUUUUGUGUCAGAAGUAUAGCAACGAUUUUCAACUGUCGACUCGUCAUUUCUGGACCAGUCCCUUACCUCAGGCCGGUCGUCGUGGUCGUGUGGUUCUAGGGGCUUCAGUCCGGAACCGCGAGACUGCUACGGUUGCAGAUUCGACUCCUGCCUCGAGCAUGGAUGUGUGUGAUGUCCUUGGGUUAGUUAGGUAUACGUAGUUCUAAGUUCUAGGGGACUGAUGACCUCAGAUGUUCAGUCCCAUAGUUCUCAGAGCCAUUUUGAACCUUACCUCAGAUUGAUAUAUUUGCACUUCUCCAUAAUUCCUGUAAGUCUGUAACAGCAUCAUCGCCAUGUCUUCUGUCCGAAGACUGGUUUCAUGCGGCUCUACAUGCAACUCUAUCCUUUGCAAACUUCCUCAUCUCAUAGUAAGUACUGCAGUGUACGUUCAUCUGAAUCUGCUUACCGCAUUCAUCUCUUGAUCUCCCUCUACGAUUUUU